AAUAGAUACCCAGGUAGUCCCAGCCGUAAACGUUGGGUGCUAGGUGUGGGCGGAUAUCGACCCCGUCCGUGCCGAAGCUAACGCAUUAAGCACCCCGCCUGGGGAGUACGGCCGCAAGGCUAAAACUCAAAGGAAUUGACGGGGCCCCGCACAAGCGGCGGAGCAUGCUGCUUAAUUCGAUGCAACGCGAAGAACCUUACCUGGGUUUGACAUGCAGGGUGAAACCCGUGAAAGCGGGCGCUCUUCGGAGCCUGCACAGGUGGUGCAUGGCUGUCGUCAGCUCGUGCCGUGAGGUGUUGCCUUAAGUGGCGCAACGAGCGCAACCCCUGUCCUUAGUUGCCAGCGGGUCAUGCCGGGAACUCUAGGGAGACUGCCGGUGCCAAACCGGAGGAAGGUGGGGAUGACGUCAAGUCAGCAUGCCCCUUAUACCCAGGGCUGCAAGCAUGCUACAAUGCGCGAUACAAAGGGCUGCGAUCCCGUAAGGGGAGCGAAUCCCAAAAAGUCGCGCUCAGUUCAGAUCGAGGU
rnacentral:rRNA from 1 species